rnacentral:lncRNA from 1 species
ACCCUUUUAAGCUAUAACAUAAAAACAACUCACUAAUGUCUCUUAAAAAUCUUAUUAAGAAAUAAUGUAAAUGAAACGCCAAGGUAAUCUCUACACCAUUCAAAUACCUGCGGAAAGUAAGUGUUUCCCAAUGCAAAUCCAGCAACAAGUCCACCGCCAUAUCCAAUCAGAAGAACAGUCCAGUCUAAUUCAAAGAAAGAUUCCGAGUCGUCAUCAUCAACAUCAGAAGUAGAAGGCCCUCCAUGAUCUAUACACUUCUUCAACAACUGAUCCCCAUACAAACCUUGGUUACCCUCAAAUGAAUCAUCUUUGAAUGUAGAAAACUGAUUAUUUUGUGGUAUAGGACCUGUGAGAUUGUUAAAGGACACAUUUAAGUACUCCAAAAAGGUGAUUUCUGCCAACUGUUGGGGAAUUUUUCCUGAAAGACUGUUGAGAGAAAGAUCUAGUGCUUCAAGGUUUGAAAGAUUCCCUAAGGAAGAUGGUAUGCUGCCAAUAAGGUGGUUAUUUGACAAGUUGAGUAAAACAAGUCCCUUCAACUCGCCUAUAACAUGUGGUAUCUCUCCACUGAUUUUGUUGCUUGAAAUAUCAAUGGCUAUUAAGCUGUAGAAAUUUUGAAGCUUCUCAUAAACCCUUGCAAACCCUUUGUUUGACAUUGUGAAUGUAUAAAACAUAUUUUGUGUUGUAUGAAUUGGUCCUGCACUGUUCAAUGUCGAGUAAGAUUCAUACUGUAAUUGACUUGUGUUGGUAGUUUUCAUUGUUUUCCAUCCUUGGAUCAUUUCUGAUGGAAAACUUCCAGAGAAUUCAUUGUGAGAAAGGUCAAUGAUGUGAAGCUUGGGAAAUGUGCAUGUCAUGUUGCCAGAGCACCUAAUGUCUCCAUGGAAUGCAUUGUUACUUAAAGACAAUACCUUCAACUCGGGUAAAUCUUUCACCCUGCAGAUUGUUGUUGUUGAAAUCAAUCAUCUGAAGGGAACUUCCUAUCAUGUAUGUUUGAGGAAUGAGGCCAGACAAUUUAUUCCCUUUUAGCAUUAUAUUUUCUAAAGAUUGGCUAAAGUUACCCAGACAUGAAGGAAUGUUGCCGCUUAAGUUGUUGAUCGAUAAAUCAAGAGUCACGAGUGAUUUGAGAUUGCAUAUGGAUGGGGGUAUUUCUCCUGUCAAUGAAUUGUGGGAAACAAGUAAGCUUAUUAGACUUGCUUUUUUCCACAACCAAUUGGGCAGCAAUGUCAUAUUGUUGUUUGACAACAUAAGAAAUUCCAGAUCAGGCAUGUCUCUUAUAAAUGUUGGAAUCUCAACUAAAUUGCAUGAAGCCAAUUGUAAGACUCGAAUUUGAGAAUCGGUCCUAUGGGAAGAACUUUUUCCACUAUACAAUGACAAUUUGUUGAAUGAUAAAUCUAGAAAAACUAGCUUUUUGAGGUUCAGAAAUGUGUCAAGCUCUAGCUUUCCAUGCAAAAAAUUAGAGCGUAGGCUCAAGUAAGCUAAAUUUGCUAGAUUCAUUAUCCAUGAUGGAAUUUCACCCUUUAUAUUGCUAUUUGUUGCACCUAGAAGUUCUAGUUGGGUGAGAUUUGCAAAAGAUAAUGGGAUGUCACUGCCAAUAUUGACUGAGGAUAUAUCCAAGGAAGUUAAUGAUGAGAGCUUACCGACCCAUGAGAUGGUCUCAAUAGUAAAUUCAUUCCAAGCAACACUCAACAUGCUUAGUUGGGUAAUAUUUGCCAAGGAUGCAGAAGGGUCACCCCUAAAUUUGUUAUUAUCAAGGUAUAUCCCCCUGAGUUGUGUGAGGUUGCCAAGUGAAGUAGGAAUAUUUCCAAAAAAAUGGCAUUCUGGAAUUGAUAGAAUAACUAAAGAAUUAAGCUUUCCAAUGGAUACUGGCAGUGCACCAGAGAAACCUGUAUGAUCAAGUGCUAACCUGGUGAGUGAACUAGACUGAAACUCAGGCAAACUACCAUUGAGAUUUGGAUUAUAUCUCAAAUCCAGAAGUUCCAAGUUUGGAAGAUGAAAUACUCCAACUGGAAACUCUCCAUACAAUUCAGAAUUGUAUAGAGACAGUGCUUUCAACGAAGUUAGAUUUGUGAGUGUAUCUGGUAAAGUAGAUGAAAUUGUUACAUGACUAAGAUGAAGGGUCUCAAGUUUUGUUGAGUUUUGAAUUAUGCUUUUGAGACUGGAUAAUUUGAGUUGCAGCAGAUUGUCUGUAGCUCUGAAGCCUAGAUCAAGAGACAACAACUUGGACAACUGUGAAACUUGUGGUGGAAUUUCUCCAGAAAAGAAGCUCAGGGAAAGGUUCAGAUGUUUUAAUUGUGAAAGCUCACCUAUCUUGGAUGGGAUUUGAGAGUAAUUGAAGUCAUUGUCAGAAAGAUCAAGAACUCGAAGGUGCACAAGGCGAAAGAGACUGCUAUUUGCAUCCAUUGUACCAUAGAGUUGGCUGCUACUAAGAUCAAUGUGAAUCACAUGGUCUGUGUGCUCAUGACAUUUAAUGCCAUCCCAUGAGCAACAAUCUGUGCUGGAAUUCCAAGAUGAUGUUUUAGGAUAACCAAGAAGAUCAUCAGAGGCUAAGUUAUUGAUGACAAAGCCUUCCUUAAAUUGCAACAAGGCAUGGCUUUCAUAUUGAUGACACUUUGGCUGAAUUUGAGGAAAACAUGUAGUAAAUGUGAAAGUGAAAAGUGAAUACAGGAAAAGAAAUUUUAGUAACAAAGCAAGAGACCUGACAAACACCAUUGUAUAUUUUAAUAUUUUGAACUGAAUGUUUUGGAUGAAAUGCUAGACACAUAGUAAGUGAUUCUUAUAGUAAAUGAAAAUGUUUUGUAGUGAAUUUGAUUAUCAUUGACCGUGCAUUUUGGUUUAGGACUAACAUCAUAAGUCUAUAUCUUGGCUCAGCCCAUUGGAGAGGCUAACUUGAUCAACUCCAAAAAUACAAGACUUUGAUGUAACAUAAUAUAAUCUCUAAUCAAAUUAUGUGGGCCAAUCCAAUACACAAGGUCUAUUUGAUGUUUUAUCAUGUAGUGAGGCUUUCUUAUCUUCCACAAAUUUCAUUUUCUGUCCAUUUAUGGUUUUUGCCUUCUAAUUUCAGUACAUUUGUCUCGAUUGUUUGACUCAGCAAUUUCCUCUAAGUUUCUUGCUACUUGCAUCUUUGGAAAACAAUUUAAUAUUUAGACUUAGUCAAUUGUUCCAGUGGAAUUUUAUUAUCUCAACAUUUUAUUAUUUGGUUGUAUGCAUAGAACUUUAAUCUAGAACUGAGUAUCCAUUUAAGAGCUUGCACAAAAAUAUUGAAUAUAAUUUUAAAAAGUUAAGCAUGCGUAAUUGAAAAAACUUCAGUUUUAUAUAAUAUGUUCAGUAGUAAAAACUUCAGUUUUAUCUUGAUCUUGUCAAAAUGCAGUUUUAUCUGUCAUUGUUUAGAAUCAUCCAUUAAAAUUAUAUAAUAAAAAAAUUUGUACAGUCCUAAUGUAUACUUUUGAAAUUUAACAAGUCUUUUCUUUAUGUUAAGGUCAGUCUUCUAGAAGUACAGGUUAAGGUCAUAUAACAACACUUAAAUCAAAAAUAAGAAAAAUAAUAUAGUUGUAGCAUAUUACACUGACUUGGAUAAUAAUAACAACAAAUUUACCAACCUGAGAAACACAAUCUACAAGGUCUAAAGAAGCAUACAAAUUGAAAGAGGAAAAACACAGUUUAUCUAACUAUGUAUUAACCUAACAUAUCACACAACUGAGAUGCAUAUCAUAGCUGAUCAAUGUCCUCACAGACAGCAAGUUCCUCAUGACCAUAUGGAUAGCUGUUUAAAAUAAGUCAACCAUUAGUAAAAGAAGUGUCAAAAAGCAGUAUAUUGAUUUUAUUUUUCUUUUUUUAAAAAUAUAUAGCUGAAAGAUUAGAGCUUACAACAAACCGAAGUUGGAGUACAAUUUCCUACGGUCAUCUUCGGUAAGCUCAGUACCAAUGCUGCACAAAGCGGAAACCAUGAGAUGCUAGUUAUGUGGAUGUCCAGAUAAACAAAAAGAUUAUACAAAGACUGGUUAGUAAUUUUUACCUAGUUAUGGUAAUAUUAACAGCCCUUCAAUCAGCCUCAAAAGCUAGAAUGUCGGACAUUAUCUCAGCAGUAGCACCACCAAGUUUCUGUUUGUGAAUAAAAUUUAAGUUGAUGAAAUUCGGGUUAGAUGAUUUACCUCUGAUGUAAUGCACUCAGAGAAGUAUGGAGCCAGAGGAGUGUCAACAAGAACCAGCCUGUAAAGCUCCCGCAUAUUCUGAGCAACUGCCAGAGUUGCAAUGCUGAGGAGAAUCCCACCGAAAAGAAGAAAAAACAGAAGUAAAAUCAAUAUUCUAUGUGCCGUAACUAAGGUCUCUUUCUAGGCUAAAAAAAGUUCAAUAUAUAUAGGCUCAAAGUCUUUCUAGUUUGGUAAUAGAGAAAAAAAAGAUAUGUAGUUUGAUGAAUGUCUCUUUCUUUGCAUUCCCCUCAAUCACAAUGCUUUCAAACAUCCGUAACUAAGGUUGACUUCAGCCCUGGUGUUAGGAACAAGUACUUGAGCUUUGAAAUCAACUUUUAUUGGAUUGCUUCUUCAAAAAAAAAACUUUUAAUGGAUUGGAAGAACUAAAAAGAAACUGAUGCAAUUCAAAAGGUAAAACGAAUUUCAAAAUCAGCAUUACAAAAAGUCAUCAUAAUGUAUAUACCUAGGACUCAGUAGAAAUUUAAAAAUUGAUUGAAUUUUUGAAAUAAUUAAAAGACUAGACUUGUGGGUUGUCUCCCAAGAAACGCGUGUUUAACAUCUCGAGCUUGACGAACCAACACUCUUGUCAGGGUGGAUAUUUAAACAUGUAAUCAACAAUGCUAUUCUUUUUCUUCUUUGUGAGAAGAAUGUUGAUACACUUUGCAUAAGGUAUUAGUCUCACUUGUUCAAAGUUUAUGAACCUUUUCCACCUAUUUUUCCAUUCGUUCUUUCUCUUCUAUGGUGUUUUGUUUUAAGAGAUGUGAUUGAUGCUUGUCCACACCUUAUCUUUCUCCAAAUGAUAGAAUUCACCGGUCACCUCAAUCUGAAUCCAGCCCUUGUCAGUUGUUUUUUAUCACCGAGAAUCAUCAUCAUUGAAUUGCAUUGUGUCGAACACAUUGUUGGAUACUUGCUCAUCAAAUUCCGCUUUUGCUUUCAAAUUCAACUAGUUUUGAUUGUAAACCUAAAGAGAUCAAUCUACUUUGUUUGAUUUCUCAUCACUAUCAGAUUCAAACCAGGUAGCCAUUUACCUAUUUUUCUUCUUCUCAUGUUCAUGCACCAAAGAUUAAUUUUUUAUUUUAAUGGUUAUUUACUACUUUAUUCAAAGGUAUAUAAGUUGCUAAAUUGUAUUUUGUUUCACAUUGCAGUUGAUUAUAACUAAACAUUUGUAUUCUUGGUAUCUGAAAAGCAGAUUCAUCUUUGUCUGUAUUAGUUAUCCAUUAUUGCAUUUGUUUGUCACUUAAGUUGUUUUUUUUUGCUCUAAAGUCAACUUCCAUAAAAAAUGCUUCAUUUUGCUACCAUAGUAUACAUCAUAUAAUCACUUUUUUUUUUCUGCAAUGCCACCAGCCCAAAGACCUAACAGGUCACAUUUUUCCGCAUCACCAAAACUACUUUAUUUCAUACCAACAACAAUUAGUAUACAUACAAAGCAUACUCUUAGGCUUUGUUUGCGAGUUUUGAGGGGAAGGAAAGGAAAGGCUAAGGAGGGGAAGGGAAGGAAAGGGAGGGAAGGGAGAAAGGAGGGAAAACCUUCCCCUUGUUUGGGAGUUAAAAAGCCAACAAGGAAAGGAGAUGGAGGACUUAUGUUAUAAUUUUACUAUUUUACCCUUUUUCCUCUUAAAAUCAAUAUAUUGUUAUACUUCGUAAUUUAACUUUUAAUUUAUUCAAAACAACUUAUCGCAUGAAAAACAAAUUAUUAAGAUCUAUUUUAAAAAACAACUUAUUUAUAAAAAAAAAAAAAAAAAAAAAAAACUUAUUACAAUCACUUUUUAAAAACAACUUACUUAUACAAAACAACUUAUUACGACCUCUUUUUAAAAAUAGCUUAUCUUAUGAAAAACAAAUUAUUAAGAUCUUUUUUUAAAAAACAACUUAUUCAAAAUAGCUAAUUUAUACAAAACAGCUUAUUAUGACCUCUUUUCAGAAAAACAGCUUAUUCAAAACAGCUUAAUACAAUCUCUUAUUCAAAAACAACUUAUCCAAAAUAGUUUAUCUAUAUAAAACAGCUUAUUACGACCUCUUUUCAAAAAACAACUUGUUCAAAACAGCUUAUUUAUACAAAACAACUUAUUCAAAACAGCUUAAUACGAUCUCUUUUUCAAAAACAGCUUAUUCAAAACAGCUUAUUUAUACAAAAUAGCUUAUUACGACCUCAUUUUCAAAAACCGCUUAUUCAAAACAACUUAUUUAUACAAAACAGCUUAUUACGACAUCAUUUUCAAAAACAGCUUAUUCAAAACAGCUUAUUUAUACAAAACAGCUUAUUAUGACCUCAUUUUUAAAAAUCGCUUAUUCAAAACAACUUAUUUAUACAAAACAGCUUAAUAUGACCUCAUUUUCAAAAACAGCUUAUUCAAAACAACUUAUUAUGCAAAACAGCUUAAUACAAUCUCUUUUACUAAAACAGCUUAUUCAAAAUAGCUUAUUUAUAUAAAACAGCUUAUUACGACCUCAUUUUCAAAAACCGCUUAUUCAAAACAACUUAUUUAUACAAAACAGCUUAUUACGACCUCUUUUUCAAAAACAGCUUAUUUAUACAAAACAGCUUAAUAUGAUCUCUUUUUCAAAAACAGCUUAUUCAAAACAGCUUAUUUGUACAAAAUAGCUUAAUACGACAUCAUUUUCAAAAACCGCUUAUUCAAAACAACUUAUUUAUACAAAACAUCUUAAUAUGACUUCAUUUUACAAAAUAGCUUAUUCAAAACAACUUAUUUAUGCAAAACAGCUUAAUACGACCUCAUUUUCAAAAACGGCUUAUUCAAAACAGCUUAUUUAUGCAAAACAGCUUAAUACGAUCUCUUUUUCAAAAACAGCUUAUUUAUACAAAACAGCUUAUUACGACCUCAAUUUCAAAAAUCGCUUCUUUAAAACAAUUUAUUUAUACAAAACAGCUUAAUACGACAUCAUUUUCAAAAAUCGCUUAUUCGAAACAACUUAUUUAUACAAAACAGCUUAUUACGACCUCAUUUUCAAAAAUCGCUUAUUCAAAACAACUUAUUUAUACAAAACUGUUUAUAACGACCUCAUUUCAAAAACCUCUUAUUCAAAACAAUUUAUUUAUGCAAAACAACUUAUUAUGUCCUCUUUUCAAAAAAUAACUUAUUCAAAACAGCUUAUUUAUGCAAAACCGCUUAUUACGAUCUCUUUUUUAAAAACAACUUAUUCAAAAAAACUUAUUUAUGCAAAACAACUUAUUAUGAUCUCUUUUUCAAAAACAACUUAUUCAAAACAACUUAUUUAUUCAAAACUUUUUUUGUAAAAAUAAGUUAUUUUGAAUAAGCUGUUUUUUGAAAAGAUGUCGUAAUAAGUUGUUUUGCAUUAAUAAGUUGUUUUGAAUAAGCUGUUUUUUGAAAAUAGGUGAUAAUAAGCUGUUUUGGAUAAGUAAGCUGUUUAGAAUAAGUUGUUUUUGAAAUAUAGAUUGUAUUAAGCGAUUUUUGACUAAGCAGAUUUUGAAAAUGAGGUCAUAAUAAGCAGUUUUGUAUAAAUAAGUUGUUUUGAAUAAGCGGAGUUUGAAAAUGAGGUCGUAAUAAGCUGUUUUUAUAUAAAUAAGCUGUUUUGAAUAAGCUGUUUUUGAAAGAAAAAAAAUCGUAUUAAGCUGUUUUGCAUAAAUAAGUUGUUUUGAAUAAGCUAUUUUUUAAAAUGAAGUCAUAUUAAGCUGUUUUGUAUAAAUAAGUUGUUUUAAAUAAGCGAUUUUUGAAAUUGAGGUCGUAAUAAGCUGUUUUGUAUAAAUAAGCUGUUUUUGAAAAAGAGAUCGUAUUAAGCUGUUUUGCAUAAAUAAGCUGUUUUGAAUAAGCCGUUUUUGAAAAUGAGGUCGUAUUAAGCUGUUUUGCAUAAAUAAGCUGUUUUGAAUAAGCUAUUUUUUAAAAUGAAGUGAUAUUAAGCUGUUUUGUAUAAAUAAGUUGUUUUAAAGAAGCGAUUUUUGAAAUUGAGGUCGUAAUAAGUUGUUUUGUAUAAAUAAGCUGUUUUUGAAAAAGAGAUCGUAUUAAGCUGUUUUGCAUAAAUAAGCCGUUUUUGAAAAUGAGGUCGUAUUAAGUUGUUUUGCAUAAAUAAGUUGUUUUGAAUAAGCUAUUUUUUAAAAUGAAGUCAUAUUAAGCUGUUUUUUAUAUAAAUAAGUUGUUUUAAAUAAGCGAUUUUUGAAAUUGAGGUCGUAAUAAGCUGUUUUGUAUAAAUAAGCUGUUUUUGAAAAAGAGAUCGUAUUAAGCUGUUUUGCAUAAAUAAGCUGUUUUGAAUAAGCUGUUUUUCGAAAAAGAGAUCGUAUUAAGCUGUUUUGCAUAAAUAAGCUGUUUUGAAUAAGCUGUAUUUGAAAAUGAGGUCUAUUAAGGUGUUUUGCAUAAAUAAGCUGUUUUUGUAAAUGAGGUCGUAAUAAGCUGUUUUGUAUAAAUAAGUUGUUUUGAAUAAUCUGUUUUUGAAAAAGAUAUCGUAUUAAGCUGUUUUGCAUAAAUAAGUUGUUUUGAAUAUGUUGUUUUUAAAAAAAAUAUAUCGUAAUAAGCUGUUUUGUAUAAAUAAGCUGUUUUGAAUAAGCUGUUUUUGAAAAAGAGAUCGUAUUAAGCUGUUUUGCGUAAAUAAGCUGUUUUUGAAAAAGAGAUCGUAUUAAGCUGUUUUGCGUAAAUAAGCUGUUUUUGGAAAAGAGGUCGUAAUAAGCUGUUUUGUAUAAAUAAGAUGUUUCGAAUAAGCGGUUUUUGAAAAUGAGGUCGUAAUAAGCUUUUUAUAUAAAUAAGCAGUUUUGAAUAAGCUGUUUUUGAAAAAGAGAUCGUAUUAAGAUGUUUUGCAUAAAUAAGUUGUUUUGAAUAAGCUGUUUUUGAAAAUGAGGUCCUAUUAAGCUGUUUUGUAUAAAUAAGUUGUUUUCAAUAAGCUGUUUUUGAAAAUGAGGUCGUAAUAAGUUGUUUUGCAUAAAUAAGUUGUUUUGAAUAAGCUGUUUUUGAAAAUGAGGUCCUAUUAAGCUGUUUUGUAUAAAUAAGUUGUUUUGAAUAAGUUGUUUUUAAAAAAGAUUGUAAUAAUUUUAGUAAGGUCUAAAAUUGGAAUUUUGAAUUAUUAAGAGGGCAAAAUUGUCAAUUAGUAUGUUUAACCCCCCAAAACCCUCCAAUUUGGGGGAACUUUAAAAUUGGACAAAUUAAACCCUUCAAAACCCCCCAAAACCUUUCCCUUGUUUUUUUAAAACUUGCAAACAAGGGUUACCACUCCAUAAGCCUUUCCUUCCCUUCCCCUCCCCUUCAAAAUUCAACUCCCAAACAAAGCCUUACUAAAGGAAAGCACAACAACAACAAAAACACAAGGAAUUUCAACUCAUAAGAUCCUUUUUUUUAAGCCAACUAAGUACUUGCAGAAAGAAAGUGCUUCCCACUGCCAUUCCAGCAACAAGACCACCUCCAUACCCAAUAAGCACUAUUUUCCAAUCAAAUUCAAACAAUGAUCCUGAAUCCUCGUCAUCAUCAUCGUCAUCAGAGGUAGAAGGACCUCCAUGAUCUAUACACUUCUUCAACAACUGAUCCCCACACAGACCUUGAUUACCCUCAAAUGAAUCACCUUUGAACGUAGAAAACUGAUUAUUUUGUGGUAUAGGACCUGUGAGAUUGUUAAAGGACAAAUUUAAGAACUGCAAAAAGGUAAUUUGUGCCAACUGUUGGGGAAUUUUCCCUGAAAGACUGUUGACAGAAAGAUCUAGUGCUUCAAGGUUUGAAAGCUUCCCUAAGGAAGAUUGAAUGCUGCCAAUAAGGAGGUUAUUAGAGAAGUUGAGCAAAACAAGGCCCUUCAACUCGCCUAUGCCUUGUGGUAUUUCUCCACUGAUUUUGUUGCUUGAAAUAUCAAUGGCUAUUAAGUUGUAAAUUUUUUGAAGGUUAUUGUAAACCAUGGCCACCCCUUUGUUUGACAUUGUGAGCGAAUAAAACUUUUCUGUUGACGUAAAAUAUUGUCCUUCAUUGUUCGACGUCGAGUAAGACUCGUACUGUAAUUGACUUGCGUUGAAAGUAUUCAUUGCUUUCCAACUUUGGAUCAUUUCUGUUGGAAAACUUCCAGAGAACUGAUUGUGAGAAAGGUCAAUGAUGUGAAGUUUGG